GCAAAUCUGGAUUUUGACCAACCACUUAUUAAAGACGCUUUGGAAGGGAGUUCAACAUCACUAUACAUGGCCAAUCAACAACAAACCAACGCAGAAAGGCAAGACGAGGAUGCAAGUGGAGAACAAAUGAAUGCUGUGCAACUGGAGAUGCUCAAAGCAUUGAAGGAAGCACGGGAAGGACAAGGUAUGAUGAUGGCCAUGAUGCUGGAGAUGCAAAGGAAGCAAGAAGAGAUGUGGAAUUUCUGCCAGCAAUUGAUGCAGAUCCCUACCUUCAAGGCCAUGUUCCUAGGCAAUUCGCAUGGAGAACAAGUAGGAGUGGAGGACAACAACAAUGGC
rnacentral:lncRNA from 1 species